AUGUAAUUCCACAUUGCUAAGUACAUGGGAGAUUAUGAAGCAGAAGAAUAACAGAGGAGUGUAGUUAGUGAUGGUCAUGUUUUGUUGUUGAAUGCUAUUGCUAUCUUUUAUUUGUGUGUGUGUGGAUUUGUAGUGAAGUGAAUGAUGGUGAGGUUGUGUUUGGAUAUUUUAGAAAGUAUCUUACUGGAUGAGGAGGGUGAGGUCACUAGUUGCU
rnacentral:lncRNA from 1 species